rnacentral:rRNA from 1 species
GAUCCUGGCUCAGGAUGAACGCUGGCGGCGUGCUUAACACAUGCAAGUCGAACGGAGUUUUAACGGAAGUUUCGGAUGGAAGUUUAGAAGCUUAGUGGCGGACGGGUGAGUAACGCGUGGGUAACCUGCCUCAUACAGGGGGGAUAACAGUUAGAAAUGACUGCUAACACCGCAUAAUAUAGCGAAACCGCAUGAUUUUUGCUAUCAAAUAUUUAUAGGUAUGAGAUGGGCCCGCGUCUGAUUAGCUAGUUGGUGGGGUAAAAGCCUACCAAGGCGACGAUCAGUAGCCGGCUUGAGAGAGUGACCGGCCACAUUGGGACUGAGACACGGCCCAAACUCCUACGGGAGGCAGCAGUGGGGAAUAUUGGACAAUGGGGGAAACCCUGAUCCAGCGAACCGCCGCGUGAGUGAAGAAGUAUUUCGGUAUGUAAAGCUCUAUCAGCAGGGAAGAUAAUGACAGUACCUGACUAAGAAGCCCCGGCUAACUACGUGCCAGCAGCCGC